rnacentral:rRNA from 1 species
CGGAGGGGACUAGCGUUGUUCGGAAUUACUGGGCGUAAAAGCGCACGUAGGCGGAUUUGUAAGUCAGGGGUGAAAUCCCGGGGCUCAACCUCGGAACUGCCUUUGAUACUGCAAAUCUCGAGUCCGGAAGAGGUGAGUGGAAUUCCUAGUGUAGAGGUGAAAUUCGUAGAUAUUAGGAAGAACACCAGUGGCGAAGGCGGCUCACUGGUCCGGUACUGACGCUGAGGUGCGAAAGCGUGGGGAGCAAACAGGAUU